rnacentral:piRNA from 1 species
UGGGAGAUGAUACUGCUGAGGAAUCACCU